CCUUGCAGUGCAGGACAUGGACAGACAGCAAGCAUUGUGAGCAGUCUCACUUCUGCUAUCCAGUAUUAGCACCGAAGAGUCUGCUGUCAUCAGUCCUGUGACUGAUGUGCUCUCAGCCUUACCUGCUGAAGUCUUUCUAACAGCCUCCGAAGCUGGCACACAGUCAUGCAUUUGAUCUCAUGACCUGCUGGGAUGUAAGGAAUGCCAUGCCAGCAAAGCUUACAUGCCAAGCUCCUACAUGAACAAGCCCGCCAUGCUGCCUGACAGUCACUUUACAGAGUGAAAAUCAUUAGAGGGACAAAUGAAGACCAGAAGUACAAAGGGAACAUGAAGAGACAGUGAACCCACACUGCAACAAGCAACAGAGAGACAAGCUGUGCUUCCAAAGGAAAGCACAUCCCAUCACUUCCUGAUUUGCAGCCAAGGUAUACCAAAUAACCCUGGAAGCCAUUCCCAAAAAUAGUAAGAACUAGGUCCUGAUGGGCAACAGGUUGAACAUGAGCCUGCAAUGCAUACUUCAGGCAAAGGCAGCCAACAGCAUCCUGGGCUGCAGUGGGCACAGACUUGCCAGCAGGUCCAGGGAGGUGAUGCUUCCCCUCUACCCAGCACAAGUGAGACGCCCCUGGGGUGCCGUGUCCUGUCCUGGGCUCCCCCGUACAGGGAAGGCAUGGACACACUUGAGUCAAUCCAGUGAAAGGCCGUAAAGGUGAUUAAGGGAUUGCAGUGGCUGACAUGAGGGGGAGAGAGCUGGGACUGUUCAGCCUGAGAAGAAAACGCUUGGGAAUCUUUUCAAGUAAAGAAGAUGGAGUCAGGCACUUUUCAGUAGAGCCCUGUGAUAAGAUGAGAGGCAACGGGUACAAAUUGGAAUAUGGGAAAUACCAUUUAAAAAUAUGAAAAAACCCCAUUUUUUCACUGUGAAGGCGGUUAAAGCCUGGGACAGUGUCCCCGAGGCAGUUGCGCAGUCGACAUCCUCGGAGCUAUUCAGAACUCAGCUGCACACAGCCCUGAGCAACUUGCUUCAGCUGACCCUGCUUUGAGCAGGGCACUCGAGUGGGUGGUCCCCAGAGGUUCCUGCAGGACCUGGCUCCCGUAGGGCUUCAAGUCAGUGAAUCUACCGGUCAGGUCCACACACAACACUGGUCUGCACGUAGAGAACUCACCCGCAGGCACUUAUCCGUAAGAACAAUGAAACUGAAAUAGCUUGCCCAUAGUGCCCUCCCCCGCUGCGUUACGGAAAGAGAGCUACUGUUAAGUAACCCGUGUUCACGUGAACCGCAUCGCUACCGGGAGCGCUACAGUCAGCAGGUGGCACACCCGUUGUGGCAGCCCCCAGCCCCGGCCGCCCCCGGCCCCCGGUGCCUGCCCAGGGCCGCCCGCCCCGCCGGGACCCGGCCGGGGGCGCCCCCGGGGACCCGCAGCCUGGGGGCCGUGCGGAGCCGGGGCUCCCGCCGGCACCGGCACAGGCACCGGCACGGGCACCGGCACAGGCACCGGCACAGGCACCGGCGCGGGGGGGAGCGGCCGCAUCCCCGCGGGCGGGGGGCUCCGGCAGGGCUCCAGCCACAGCCCUGGGCACUGGCCGUGAGAAAGCGCGAUACAGGAGAAUGACAGUCAGCUCACAGGGCAACCCCAGUUCCCACACUCGUGCGUAAGCGGGACCGGUUAGAAAACAUCAAUAAUUCUCCCAGGAAUUUGUUUAAAAGGCAGUCUAUGAAUUUCCAAUGAACGACUGCUUUUCAACGUUCCAAUUUCUUUCAAUUUUAAAAAAAAGUUUAUAUUUUUUAAAAUAAAUUUUUACUGAAACAGGUUUUCAACACUGGAUUUUUUAAUGAAGAAUCCAUAACUUUCUUCCUGGAAUGAAAACUUACCGCAAUGAAAAACGUUUUGGUGAAUAGGCUAUUUUACAAAGAAAAAAUAGUCCUUUUUUUUUUUUUUUUUACCAUCUCCAUUUAUAAAGGGGCCUGAUGUUACUUUAAGCCUGAUUUGGACAUUAAUCUCUUAAGACCUCACAACUGUCUUUUUUAUUUAGUAGAAAAUUCUUUGCUCUAAUAUUUCAAAAUGCUACCUAAAAAAGAAACUACUGUUGUAAGAUUUUCUGUUCCUGUUACUGCCAGAUGAGAUCCCAUUUCUUCUUAGUGUUCAUUUUAACCUACAUUGUAUGGAAUAUAUUUUACUGUAUUUAUGCCCUCAGAUAAUGGCCACAUAUCCAUUUAUUUACUACACACUAGAGGAGGCAAAAGAAUUUCUUUCACAUAAAGAAGAAGAUUAGCAAAGUCCACAGACAAUCUUAAAAUUAAAUAUGGCUAGAAACCAACUUAGCCAGGAUAUAGGUUAACAUGUGUAUACUACUGCCCCCCCAAUUCUAUUUUUAAAAAACACAAGCAGCAUAAAGAGAACUGUAAUGCAACAAAAAUCAGACUUAAAAAAUCGUAAACUGAUAAAAAAAACCCGCUUUUUGGUGUUCAGGAAGUUUCAUGGGACAGUCACUCAGCUUUGUAGCAUUGGUUUUUUGAUGUUGGGUUUAAACAACAUACAUCUAAAGUAUCCUUAUCAAACUCCAGAAAUGAGUGGGCAAAAUUAAAAAUAUUACCCUAUGGAAGCAAAAAAGCUUCCUCUCAGA